GACAGGCGUUAAGUCCACAAAACAGUACUGGACUUAAACAACGGAAAACUCUGUUGAAUUGUAAGAAACUGAUAGCGGAUUCCACGUCACUUCCACAUCCUAUGUGGGGGCAGGGCCGGGGUCUCUAUAAAAUUCUGACGGUUAUCGCUUCAAUUCACUGAAAAACAAACACUGAUCCGGUAAGGACAGAUCAGAGUUAACAACGGGUCGAUCAAGUUAACUUCAUCUUAAAAACCCAAGCGACUGUCUUGGCUUAAUCAAUACCUUGCAUUCCACAAUCCAAAAGUAAACUUUUAAAACGACUCCUACGAUGAACCGAAAGCUACUCGCUGCGUUAGCAAUUGUAACAUUUCUCACGAUAGCUGACCUUAGCAACAGAACUGCUUGUGAAGCGAAACAGCGGCGCCGAAGGUUCACGUGGCAUGGAAGACGUUUGAUCUCACAUCGACCGACAAAGUCUGCAUCGAAUGGAAAUAGCCAGGUGAACAUGAAUUCUCAAAAGCCAGCAGAUAAUGAUGACACAACACAAAAACAAGACUUUGAUAAUGAAGAACAGGUUGGAAAAUUCUACGCUGAAGUGUUUGGAAGUGGUGAUAUGCGUCAACCACACGAACCUUGAUUUUUUACGAAGAUUAGAGAUGUAAAAUGGAGUCGACAUAAAUAUAGUUUUUUAAAUGUUUUAAAUUCAUUAUAUUUAAUUAAAGUUAGGAAAUUGUAUUAUUUAACUGAUUCAUUAAAGAGGAUAAUUUGUGCGUCUUGAAACAUUUCAUGAAAAAUCUUCACGAUCAUCGUCUGCAAUCUUCAUAAGUCUCCUUUGUCUCUAAAACGUUAUCACCGUAAUCCAGACUAAAACCGAAAAUGUUACACGGCUUUUCCAUAAAAAAAUAUUUAAAUUUACUGAAACAAGCUUAUCUUUACGUUUACAAAUGAGGAGACUGAAAGUUACAAACUUUUCUAGGCGGUCCUACAAAAUACAAACUGUCUUUUAAAAUACACUAAACGGAGUGGUUUUUAGCCGGGGCUAUUGCACAUAACAAUGAAGAAAGAAGUCGUGCAACAGUUCUGAAUUUGGCAUGGCUUUAUUCUAGUGCUUUUCCAUCUCAUAGAAAUUAAAAAUGAAAACCAAACCGAACGAAAGAAAGUUGCAAGGUAAUUAGUUGAGUACAAAAGCCAGCAACAGUUUGUACGCAAUUGAAGCUCACUUUGUAGAUUCAAAAUAAUUCGAAAAUAAAG